CGCAAUCUGGGCUGCGCUCCCUUGGGCUUCCGGGCUUCCUUCUAAAUUGGCUGCUCGGCUGCAAAGCCGUCAGCCCUUUCCGUGCUCGCUGGCGAGCGGGGGAGAGCGGGCGAGCGGGGAAGAGCCGCCGGCGGCCGGCGCGCCGCUCGCGGGCGGAAACGCGUGGGCUCCGAGCGCUGCGCUCGCGUCGGCCGCGCCUCGGCUCGGCGGAAGGGCGCCAGCGUUCCCGGCUUUGGUCUUCGAAGUCUUUCUUUUCACUAGGAAAGGUAUGGAGAAAAGAAUGCCCGCUCUCGUUCUCCAACCGCUCAGUCAACACCACUAGCGGGCGUCUUUAGUGACGAGCUUGGAGUGCCCCCCUGUGUAAGGAGAUGAGCACUGCAAUUGCCUUCUUACAGCAGAUAUGUCUGACUGCAAAUCCCAGACUCUGCAAGCUUCCCACCAACUCCUGGAGGAAACGUAGCUAAUACUCAUAGAAGGUUGCCUACUACUAGACCCUCUGAAGUUGAGCACAGAGAAGACAUUUAAGUACCCAGGAGCCCAGAACAGAUAUUGGCCUCACCCUAAGGGUAAAUGAAUGAAAUCACCAAGACUAUCAUAGCUGUAUGAAGGUGGUAACUGGAUGUUCUCCAAGAAGAAAUAACAGAUGAAAGUGCCUGAGUCAUUCGAACCAAGUUUCAAGUAAGAAGGAGUCCUUUGUAACUUCCUGCUUCGGGAAUUUUUACCAAGCUGCAAACAUGUAAAUAGGAAGUCAGAAGCUCUUCUGGUCUUUUGAAAAACCUGAGUCCAUAGAAGACAUUACCCUGGAUGUCUUGGAGGGGAAGAAGAGAGAGAAAAGCAUUUUUAAAAUCAGAAAAGAGACAGCAAGCUGAGAUUCUGAGAGAUUAGGCAGGGGACAAAGGUCAGUGUGUUCUGUGGAGUUCCUGAGACUUGCGGCACGUCUUGAUGGCCGAGUCCGUAGGACAAAGCGAGACCUCCGAGGGAAAGAUUUACAGUGCUCCUGAGGACGACAGACCCUAUGCACAGGGGCCGGAAGAGUCCCCGCAAAAUUCUGCUUCCCCAGGCAUGGUCCAGAAGCACCUAAGCCCUCAGACCAUGCUGACGAGACACAGGCAUGCCCCCAGAAACCAGGGUGGGCCAUUGGUCACUGAUCAGACAGUGUCUCCCCAGAAACUUAUCACAGUCCUGUGGCCAGAGCCAAACAAGACAGUGAGUGAAUUCUCUGCCUGUUCUGCGGGAUGUGGGCAAAGAGUCAGAUUUCAGUUGGUUUAGGGAAAAUAAAGAAAUGUGGUAUUUCCUACACAGCUGUUUGUGACCUGAAAUUCAUUCCCAUAGCAAUAGGCAUCUGGAAGGGAUGGAUAGCAUCCCCUGACUUUCACAGACACAGUUUUGGUGACCAGAAGAAAUAAAUUCAGGGGCGCCUGGGUGGUUCAGUCAGUUAAACGCCUGCC